rnacentral:rRNA from 1 species
UACGGGGGGGGCAAGCGUUGUUCGGAAUUACUGGGCGUAAAGGGCUCGUAGGCGGCCAACUAAGUCAGACGUGAAAUCCCUCGGCCCAACUGAGGAACUGCGCCCGAGACUGCUUCUCUUGAGUCCCGGAGAGGAAGAUGGAAUUCCCGGUGUAGCGGUGAAAUGUGUAGAGAUCGGGAGGAACACCGGUGGCGAAGGCGGUCUUCUGGACGGUGACUGACGCUGAGGAGCGAAAGCGUGGGGAGCGAACAGG